AAACUAGAAAGGCAUGAUGAGAGUUAAGGGGGCCUGAAGACACUGGAUGGGCUGAGAGGCCGGCAACGAGACAGGCUGCAGAGACUCCUGCCGCUUGAAUUGAGGCAGAGCAGGCAGGUGGGGACAAAUCUUCCGAGCGGAGAGUAGACAAAGUCACACCAGUGCCAAUUAAGAAUCAGUCCCCGAUCGUCUAUUUUAAGUUUAUGGAUCAUCUGACAAUGGAGAUAGAAGGGUUUUAUAAUUUAAAAGAUCAGCUGCUGUCCGGAGGACAUGAAUUCUCUGUGGCAGUGGCCCAGGACACAUCCACAGAGGACACUGCAUGGAGCGCUGCAUAGGGAUGUCUGUAGUUGGCAGGGUCUGUUGACUGAGCCCUGGAAAGUAGGAGGAGUCAUAAGGGAUGACCGCCCCUCUCAGGUGCUUCUGCCAAAUUUACUUCCUGACUUUCAGCAUUCAUACAGUUAUUGUCUUACUCUGAAUAUUUUGCAAAAGUGCUUCAUCUGAAAGGAGACUAAUGAAAAGGACUUUAAUAAGUGUGGGUUUCUGACAACUUUCAGAUCAUACCACUGAACUAGGUAAGAAAUUACAGAACGCUAAGAAAAAAAUUGGAUGCACAAAACUCCGAACAAAAGAUCAAGAUCAAGAAGAAUUAAUGACAUGGGAAUGAAUAAACUGAUGAGGA
rnacentral:lncRNA from 1 species